UGGGGAAUAUUGGACAAUGGGGGCAACCCUGAUCCAGCCAUGCCGCGUGAGUGAAGAAGGCCUUAGGGUUGUAAAGCUCUUUUGGCGGGGACGAUAAUGACGGUACCCGCAGAAUAAGCCCCGGCUAACUUCGUGCCAGCAGCCGCGGUAAUACGAAGGGGGCUAGCGUUGUUCGGAAUCACUGGGCGUAAAGCGCACGCAGGCGGAUUGAUAAGUCAGGGGUGAAAUCCCGGAGCUCAACUUCGGAAUUGCCUUUGAUACUGUCUAUCUUCGAGUUCGGGAGAGGUUGGCGGAAUUCCUAGUGUAGAGGUGAAAUUCGUAGAUAUUAGGAAGAACACCAGUGGCGAAGGCGGCCAACUGGCCCGAUACUGACGCUCAUGUGCGAAAGCGUGGGGAGCAAACA
rnacentral:rRNA from 1 species